rnacentral:rRNA from 1 species
GAUGAACGCUGGCGGCGUGCCUAAUACAUGCCAGUCGAGCGAACAGACGAGGAGCUUGCUCCUCUGACGUUAGCGGCGGACGGGUGAGUAACACGUGUAUAACCUACCUAUAAGACUGGGAUAACUUCGGGAAACCGGAGCUAAUACCGGAUAAUAUAUUGAACCGCAUGGUUCAAUAGUGAAAUACGGUUUUUCUGUCACUAAUCGAUGGAUCCGCGCCGCAUUAGCUAGUUGGUAAGGUAACGGCUUACCAAGGCGAGGAUGCGUAGCCGACCUGAGAGAGUGAUCGGCCACACUGGAACUGGGACACGGUCAAGACUCCUACGGGAGGCAGCAGUAGGGAAUCUGCCGCAAUAGGCGAAAGCCUGACGGAGCAACGCCGCGUGAGUGAUGAAGGUCUUCGGAUCGUAAAACUCUGUUAUUAGGGAAGAACAAAUGUGUAAGUAACUAUGCACGUCUUGACGGUACCUAAUCAGAAAGCCACGGCUAACUACGUG